CCUACGGGCGGCAGCAGUGGGGAAUAUUGCACAAUGGGCGCAAGCCUGAUGCAGCCAUGCCGCGUGUGUGAAGAAGGCCUUCGGGUUGUAAAGCACUUUCAGCGGGGAGGAAGGCGGUGAGGUUAAUAACCUCAUCGAUUGACGUUACCCGCAGAAGAAGCACCGGCUAACUCCGUGCCAGCAGCCGCGGUAAUACGGAGGGUGGAAGCGUUAAUCGGAAUUACUGGGCGUAAAGCGCACGCAGGCGGUCUGUCAAGUCGGAUGUGAAAUCCCCGGGCUCAACCUGGGAACUGCAUUCGAAACUGGCAGGCUAGAGUCUUGUAGAGGGGGGUAGAAUUCCAGGUGUAGCGGUGAAAUGCGUAGAGAUCUGGAGGAAUACCGGUGGCGAAGGCGGCCCCCUGGACAAAGACUGACGCUCAGGUGCGAAAGCGUGGGGAGCAAACAGGAUUAGAUACCCGAGUAGUC
rnacentral:rRNA from 1 species